CCUCCCACAUCUCACCUCAGACGCGCCGCCGCUCUUCUCGCCUCAGAUGCGCCGCCGCCCUCCUCGCCUCUCCCUGUCCUGUCCCCAACUGGCACUUCUCCGGCCUCCACACCUAUCCCUCUCUUUCUCCUCAGAUCUGCGCGCUGCUCCCUCUCGCUCGUCCAGGGCCGCGGCCACCGUCUCGCUUGACCUCGUCGCCGCUGCGCAGGUGCUUGGACCCAGCUCGGGCACUCCUUCCUGCGGGCGGCGGUGCGUGGAUCUAGAGGAGGCGCGGCCCCAGGUGAAGUGCACGGAUCAAGAGCAGGCGGUGCUUCUUUCUCUCCUGCUCGGAGCGGAUCGAGUCCGCGGGGUUCUUCCUCGGCAAUUCAAGCUCGACUUCCAGCGGCGCGGGCUUCCCCCACCGACGACGGCGUGGUUGUCGCGGGCUGGGCGGCCGCUUCUUCCUCCCCAGCGUCACAUCUCCUCCACUCCGUCCAUGGCUUCUUCCCCUACCUCCAGAAGACCACCUGCUCCUUGUGCGAUACGCCGCUGGCCGCAUUCGCAAGUGCAAGAUCCGUGUAUUGUUUGUGACCUACAAGCUGAUAAGAGCCUUUGAGUCUGUCAUACAUCAAGAUAAGUUUCUGAUCUCUUAUAAUAACAGUCAUACCAUGUUUGUAAUAAGAAAUCAUUAAUUGUAGCUAUCUAUCCUUAAACUUUGCUAUACCAAUUUUUUAGAACUUCGGAUUAGAGGUGUUCUCAACUGCUAUUUUGCUAGACUGAAAGUACUAGUGCUAGGAGGACCAGUUAGAUAUCUAUCUGAAAAUAGAGUUCUUGUUAGAUGGAUGCACUGCCUGAUGAGGUAUUAUAUACAUGUGCUGUACUGCAGAUUUUGUACUCUACUAAUCUGUAGAGAACAUGGAUAGAUAUAGAAAUGUAAGAUCUGAAUAUGCAAGACCUUAGUAUCCUCAUAAUACCAUAUGAAAUUUACCAUGUACAUUUGCAUCUGAACUUUAUAAUAUAUAUGUGCAGGUACAAUAUGGUUGUGGAUGUGAAUGAGAUGGCCGUCAAGCAUACAUGCAAAUUUCUGCUAGGUCAGAGAUGAAAAAGCAAGUUGUGUUGGAGGCGCAGCUUGAGCAUUUGCUGUGUCAAAAUGGACCGAGCAAAGCGUCAUGGUGGUAUGUUAGCUUUUGGUGGAACUAAGCUUUUGCAGGAACCAAACUUGUGUUUGUAAUUCUGCUGAAACCUAUCUUUUUUUUUGUUUCUGAUGCUACAAUGGACGGCAAGUGAUACUAGAUGAAAAAAAAUGUAUGUGA